GAAAAAAUAAAAAGGCACUAGCAUCAGCUGCCACGUCUCUGAAAUGCCCCCUUCUCCAUGCUUAACGCUCAGGCCGAAGCAAUUGGCGCAAUGGAAGUGAGCCAAACGGUCCAAGAUCAGAAUGUCUAGAAAAAAAACGUUAUCUCUUCAUUUGUACACAUGAGACUGGAUGAAUGAGCAGGGAACCUUGCCUCCUGGCUGUGCCUAACCUCUUGGAAUGUGAUCCAGCAAGCACACAGCAAGUCAAGUUAAUGGUGUCACCGCUUGCUGUGUCUUCUAGAAUGUAAACGCCCUUUCUCUGAGGUAAGGCAGUGCAGCAAAAUAGAGUACAAGGAGAAAGCUGGUCCAGCUGCUGCCAUCAGACCACCGGAGCUUCCUGUUCGCCUGCCCUGCCAUGGCUGCAAGCAGCAUCGCAGACAAAGUAAGGAACAGUCAAGCUUUUCUGGAACAAGCACCGUGGGUGAAGAGGCCGCUAGUCCAAUGGUGGUUUGCAGUGAACCCCUCAAAUUCUAAAUGGCCCCGUGGCUCCCCUGCACGCUCCCCGUGGAUCUUUAUCUCCCUGUUGGCAGAAUCCGCUUAACCAAUCUUGUUGGAGCAGAAGUAAGGACUACAACUACAACGACAAGCUUGUCUAUGCCCCAGGCUUCAUCAGGUCACAUAUCUGUAAGGGUCUCUCUGAUGCUCAUCUGGAAGCCCUAAGAGACAUCUGUGGUUACCUGUGUUGACAUCAAUGCUUAGCAAGCAUCAAUACAUCACUCCACACCUUCA